GUGCUCCCUUUGGCAGCUCAUAUACUAGAGAUGGAAUGAUACAGAGAAGAUUAGCAUGGCCCUUGCACAAGGAUGACAAGCAAAUUUGUAACGCUCGUUGAGUGUUU